AACCUGCUGCAACCUUGCUAGACAGACAACUUUGUGAAAACUGAAAAACCUGAAGGAGUUCAUGGGCUAAGGGAUCAAAAUGAUCUCCUUCAGCUGCUUGAGGCUGUCCACUGCAAAGGGGACGAGACAAGUAUUUACCUUAGCGGUAAAAACACCACAGACAAAAAGCGAAAUACUGAAAUCUAAAUCUGCUCUGAAAGAAGUGGUACGAAGGAUUUCAUUGUCAAAAGUGGUACGUGGAGAUUAUCCUAAUUUUUGGGGCCCAGGCCAUAUUGGUGUCCCAAGAUUUGGACACAGACUAAAGGAUUAUCAUUUUCAUGAUCACAUACUUCAGUAUGCAUGGAUUGCUGCAGUUCCAGUCGCCUUGAUGGGGCUUUACAGCCUGUAUAUUGGUCCAGCUGAAUUAAAAGACAUCCCUGAAGGUUACGAGCCCCGUCACUGGGAAUAUUACAGAGUAAGAAAAAAUAUUGGAUUGUAAGCAAUCACAUGCAGACCAACUUUAGAUACAAGGGAUGGUACUACCUAAUCGAUCGAAGAAUUGAGGAUGUAUUGAUGUUUGAUGAACUCCAGAAAAAGCAUGGCAUGUUCAGAGAAUAUUUCUACGGACGACCCCCUAUGGAUAGGUCAAACCCUACAGAUCGUCAUAUGUAAAAAACAAUUUGUGAAGAUUAAAGUAUUGUUGACAACUAUGAUACAAGUGCCUUUUUGGAAUGGUCUCAAUUCUCAAAUAUGCAUAUGAUAUAUAAAUAAGCUAAAUGUCAGGUAAAAGCUAUUAUAUUCUAUCUUUUUAAAGCAGUAUGAGCUGUAUUUUUUAGAAUUUUAUUUUGCUGCAGAAACUUGCUGGAAUGAUAAGUCUGCAUGUGACUUAAACUUUUAUGGUGAAUAAAGUUUGAAAAAUUC
rnacentral:misc_RNA from 1 species